rnacentral:rRNA from 1 species
GCUUGUUGGGGUUGUAGGACACUCUAUACGGAGUUACAAAGGACGACAUUAGACGAAUCAUCUGGAAAGAUGAAUCAAAGAAGGUAAUAAUCCUGUAGUCGAAAAUGUUGUCUCUCUUGAGUGGAUCCUGAGUACGACGGAGCACGUGAAAUUCCGUCGGAAUCUGGGAGGACCAUCUCCUAAGGCUAAAUACUCUCUAGUGACCGAUAGUGAACCAGUACCGUGAGGGAAAGGUGAAAAGCACCCCGGAAGGGGAGUGAAAUAGAACCUGAAACCGUGUGCUUACAAGUAGUCAGAGCCCGUUAAUGGGUGAUGGCGUGCCUUUUGUAGAAUGAACCGGCGAGUUACGAUUUGAUGCAAGGUUAAGCAGUAAAUGUGGAGCCGUAGCGAAAGCGAGUCUGAAUAGGGCGUUUAGUAUUUGGUCGUAGACCCGAAACCAGGUGAUCUACCCUUGGUCAGGUUGAAGUUCAGGUAACACUGAAUGGAGGACCGAACCGACUUACGUUGAAAAGUGAGCGGAUGAACUGAGGGUAGCGGAGAAAUUCCAAUCGAACCUGGAGAUAGCUGGUUCUCUCCGAAAUAGCUUUAGGGCUAGCCUCAAGUGAUGAUUAUUGGAGGUAGAGCACUGUUUGGACGAGGGGCCCCUCUCGGGUUACCGAAUUCAGACAAACUCCGAAUGCCAAUUAAUUUAACUUGGGAGUCAGAACAUGGGUGAUAAGGUCCGUGUUCGAAAGGGAAACAGCCCAGACCACCAGCUAAGGUCCCAAAAUAUAUGUUAAGUGGAAAAGGAUGUGGCGUUGCCCAGACAACUAGGAUGUUGGCUUAGAAGCAGCCAUCAUUUAAAGAGUGCGUAAUAGCUCACUAGUCGAGUGACACUGCGCCGAAAAUGUACCGGGGCUAAACAUAUUACCGAAGCUGUGGAUUGUCCUUUGGACAAUGGUAGGAGAGCGUUCUAAGGGCGUUGAAGCAUGAUCGUAAGGACAUGUGGAGCGCUUAGAAGUGAGAAUGCCGGUGUGAGUAGCGAAAGACGGGUGAGAAUCCCGUCCACCGAUUGACUAAGGUUUCCAGAGGAAGGCUCGUCCGCUCUGGGUUAGUCGGGUCCUAAGCUGAGGCCGACAGGCGUAGGCGAUGGAUAACAGGUUGAUAUUCCUGUACCACCUAUAAUCGUUUUAAUCGAUGGGGGGACGCAGUAGGAUAGGCGAAGCGUGCGAUUGGAUUGCACGUCUAAGCAGUAAGGCUGAGUAUUAGGCAAAUCCGGUACUCGUUAAGGCUGAGCUGUGAUGGGGAGAAGACAUUGUGUCUUCGAGUCGUUGAUUUCACACUGCCGAGAAAAGCCUCUAGAUAGAAAAUAGGUGCCCGUACCGCAAACCGACACAGGUAGUCAAGAUGAGAAUUCUAAGGUGAGCGAGCGAACUCUCGUUAAGGAACUCGGCAAAAUGACCCCGUAACUUCGGGAGAAGGGGUGCUCUUUAGGGUUAACGCCCAGAAGAGCCGCAGUGAAUAGGCCCAAGCGACUGUUUAUCAAAAACACAGGUCUCUGCUAAACCGUAAGGUGAUGUAUAGGGGCUGACGCCUGCCCGGUGCUGGAAGGUUAAGAGGAGUGGUUAGCUUCUGCGAAGCUACGAAUCGAAGCCCCAGUAAACGGCGGCCGUAACUAUAACGGUCCUAAGGUAGCGAAAUUCCUUGUCGGGUAAGUUCCGACCCGCACGAAAGGCGUAACGAUUUGGGCACUGUCUCAACGAGAGACUCGGUGAAAUCAUAGUACCUGUGAAGAUGCAGGUUACCCGCGACAGGACGGAAAGACCCCGUGGAGCUUUACUGUAGCCUGAUAUUGAAAUUCGGCACAGCUUGUACAGGAUAGGUAGGAGCCUUUGAAACGUGAGCGCUAGCUUACGUGGAGGCGCUGGUGGGAUACUACCCUAGCUGUGUUGGCUUUCUAACCCGCACCACUUAUCGUGGUGGGAGACAGUGUCAGGCGGGCAGUUUGACUGGGGCGGUCGCCUCCUAAAAGGUAACGGAGGCGCUCAAAGGUUCCCUCAGAAUGGUUGGAAAUCAUUCAUAGAGUGUAAAGGCAUAAGGGAGCUUGACUGCGAGACCUACAAGUCGAGCAGGGUCGAAAGACGGACUUAGUGAUCCGGUGGUUCCGCAUGGAAGGGCCAUCGCUCAACGGAUAAAAGCUACCCCGGGGAUAACAGGCUUAUCUCCCCCAAGAGUUCACAUCGACGGGGAGGUUUGGCACCUCGAUGUCGGCUCAUCGCAUCCUGGGGCUGUAGUCGGUCCCAAGGGUUGGGCUGUUCGCCCAUUAAAGCGGUACGCGAGCUGGGUUCAGAACGUCGUGAGACAGUUCGGUCCCUAUCCGUCGUGGGCGUAGGAAAUUUGAGAGGAGCUGUCCUUAGUACGAGAGGACCGGGAUGGACAUACCUCUGGUGUACCAGUUGUCGUGCCAACGGCAUAGCUGGGUAGCUAUGUGUGGACGGGAUAAGUGCUGAAAGCAUCUAAGCAUGAAGCCCCCCUCAAGAUGAGAUUUCCCAACUUCGGUUAUAAGAUCCCUCAAAGAUGAUGAGGUUAAUAGGUUCGAGGUGGAAGCAUGGUGACAUGUGGAGCUGACGAAUACUAAUCGAUCGAAGACUUAAUCAAAUU